rnacentral:rRNA from 1 species
UUGAACGCUGGCGGCAGGCCUAACACAUGCACGUCGAACGGUAACAGGAAGAAGCUUGCUUCUUUGCUGAUGAGUGGCGGACGGGUGAGUAAUGUCUGGGAAACUGCCUGAUGGAGGGGGAUAACUACUGGAAACGGUAGCUAAUACCGCAUAACGUCGCAAGACCAAAGAGGGGGACCUUCGGGCCUCUUGCCAUCGGAUGUGCCCAGAUGGGAUUAGCUAGUAGGUGGGGUAACGGCUCACCUAGGCGACGAUCCCUAGCUGGUCUGAGAGGAUGACCAGCCACACUGGAACUGAGACACGGUCCAGACUCCUACGGGAGGCAGCAGUGGGGAAUAUUGCACAAUGGGCGCAAGCCUGAUGCAGCCAUGCCGCGUGUAUGAAGAAGGCCUUCGGGUUGUAAAGUACUUUCAGCGGGGAGGAAGGGAGUAAAGUUAAUACCUUUGCUCAUUGACGUUACCCGCAGAAGAAGCACCGGCUAACUCCGUG